UUGAAAUCCCAGUGUUAAGGACUUUUAGAGUAAAGAGUUAAAGUUGUGGUGUUGAAUUUUAAAGGAUUAACACUAGCUAGUGUAAACAGCACCCUCUGGCCGGUGUUAAUACGGAGAAUUACCCUCAUUAACACUGUUGAGAGUUAUUAGUGACAUCCGGGACAUUUUCUCGUGUGCGAGCCUAAUCCGUCUAAAAUAUUUUUCACAGACGCCAUUUUCUUUGCUCGCGAUGCGGAGCAUAUUAGGACGGAAAACGGCGAUAUAAAGUGUUUAAUCCUACUCACAAAGUGUGUUUUGUAAUAUCAUAUCGUUUUAUAAUUAUUUCAAUGUGUUGGGUGCGCCUAAAAACUUUUAUCAAUGGCAUUUCCUUUCACUCGCGAUGCGGAACAGACGAGGACUUUUCUAAAAGGGAAUAUCCGAAAAGAGACAUUUUCUUUCUCUCGCGGUGCGAGCAGACGGGAAAGUUGUUUUUAACAAGGAAAACACUGAAAAGAGAUAUUUUCGUUCACUCGUGAUGCUCCGGAGCAGAUGAGGAAGUUGGUUUUAACGAGGAAAACGCCAAAAAUGGUCCAUGCUGGCUUAACAGAAAAAUCAAAAGAAGAUGAUGUGCUUGAAGAGUAUGAAGCCACCAAUACAUGGGAGUCGUCCAACCUCAGUGCAGAGAGAUCAAUGUGCACUUGGAAUUGUGACUUUGUCUCUGUCCUUAGAAGACCCAUUUUCUAUUUUACAGGGGCAGUUUUGUGAUGCUGUAAAUAGGAGUGGAUAUCUUGCUUGGCUGAAAACUGCAGAGAAACGCAUCUCAUCGUGCUGAAAAAACGAAUGAGAGUAUUCUCUCCAAGGAGGUCCAAACACCAGCAUAGACUUUGAUUAGUGAGCAUUAACAUGCAUUCAGCUUUUAUGGUAAUGAAUGGAAUGCUGUUGUUUAACCUCCUAAAUGUCAGCAUUAUAAACCUUAUGACAUUA